rnacentral:lncRNA from 1 species
UCUUAAGAUGCCUAAUUCCCUCCAAAUAGUCGAAAAAAAUGAACACAUUAAACAUGAAAAAAACUGGCGCCACUUUUCAAUUAAAAUUGCCACCAAAAGUUAUGUUUACAACCCUAUAAAAAGGGGUGUUUGCACAUUCUUAUUACACCAAAAUUUGGGCAGCAUUUCGCCCCAAAUUCUUCUAAAAAAAACUGCUUCCACCAAAAAAAAAGAAUGACAAGAAGGAAAGAUCUCAGCGGGGCCGAAUGACAAGCUAUUGCUUUGUUUCUUCUUCAAAACUCAUCAAAUGGGAAGCUUCACUAUGGGACGGCCAAGGCAGCCAUGGAGAAAUGGGGAUGCUGUCGGAGUUCUAUCGCCCGUUUGUGGAAGGCUGCAAAAGAGGAA